rnacentral:rRNA from 1 species
UUGCGGACGGGUGAGUAACGCGUGGAAAACCUGCCGUAUACUGGGGGAUAACACUUAGAAUAGGUGCUAAUACCGCAUAAGCGCACAGCUUCGCAUGAAGCGGUGUGAAAAACUCUGGUGGUAUACGAUGGUUCCGCGUCUGAUUAGCUAGUUGGUGGGGUAAUGGCCUACCAAGGCAACGAUCAGUAGCCGGCCUGAGAGGGUGAACGGCCACAUUGGGACUGAGACACGGCCCAAACUCCUACGGAAGGCAGCAG